rnacentral:rRNA from 1 species
UUUCAAUCACCUAACGGCUGAACCAGCAACUUGGAGGAAUGUAUAGCAAUAGCUACUUGUAUCAUUGUAAAAAUGAUGCAGGAUCGACUAUGUCGAAUAAAAUUCUAGGUAGAAUUAUGAUAAUGACAUUGUCUGCCUAUGUGUCUUGACCAAAUUACGUGCCAGCAGUCGCGGUAAUACGUAGAAGACUAGUGUUAUUCAUGUUUAAUCGGUUUAAAGGGUACCUAGACGGUAAAUCAAGCCUAAAAUUAAAUGAAGGGACUAAUUUACUAGAGUUACUUAUGAGGGGGUAUUAAAGUACUGCUGGUGUAGAGAUGAAAUUCUGUCAUACCUCUUUUCAAUAGAAAAACAAUGGCACAGGUAUAGGCGAAAGCAUCCCCUUAUGUGAUAACUGACGUUGAGGGACGAAGGCUUUGUGUAGCGAACAGGAUUAGAUACCCCAGUAGUCAAAGCAGAAAAUGAUGAAUGUCAUAGAUUAGAUAAAUAAGUUUAUUCUAUAAAUGAAAGUGUAAGCAUUCCACCUCAAGAGUAAUUUGGCAACAUUGGAACUGAAAUCAUUAGACCGUUUCUGAAACCAGUAGUGAAGUAUGUUGUUUAAUUUGAUGAUCCGCAAAAAACCUUACCACAAUUUGAAUAUUUAUAUUUUUUAUUGUUUUCUUUUUAAUUUUCUUCUGAUUUGAUUUUUGAGGCGAUAUGAUAUAUUUACAAGCGUUGCACGGCUGUCUUCAGUUAAUGUCGCGAGACUUUGGUUAGUUCCAUUAAAUUAACGUAAACCCUAACUAAGUAUAG